GCUCAAUGAUAAAAAAAAACGAGUAAACAAACAUUUAAGCAUUCAAUAUGCAUUUAAUGCAAAUGCGAUAAACAACACGUUACAUGCGAUAAACAAAUUAC